rnacentral:rRNA from 1 species
GACGAACGCUGGCGGCGUGCUUAACACAUGCAAGUCGAACGGUAAGGCCCUUCGGGUACACGAGUGGCGAACGGGUGAGUAACACGUGGGUGAUCUGCCCUGCACUUCGGGAUAAGCCUGGGAAACUGGGUCUAAUACCGGAUAGGACCAUGGACUUCACGGUUUGUGGUGGAAAGCUUUUGCGGUGUGGGAUGGGCCCGCGGCCUAUCAGCUUGUUGGUGGGGUAAUGGCCUACCAAGGCGACGACGGGUAGCCGGCCUGAGAGGGUGUCCGGCCACACUGGGACUGAGAUACGGCCCAGACUCCUACGGGAGGCAGCAGUGGGAAUAUUGCACAAUGGGCGCAAGCCUGAUGCAGCGACGCCGCGUGAGGGAU